rnacentral:rRNA from 1 species
CUACAGGCUUAACACAUGCAAGUCGAGGGGCAUCAGGAAGAAAGCUUGCUUUCUUUGCUGGCGACCGGCGCACGGGUGAGUAACACGUAUCCAACCUGCCCUUUACUCGGGGAUAGCCUUUCGAAAGAAAGAUUAAUACCCGAUGGCAUAAUGAUUCCGCAUGGUUUCAUUAUUAAAGGAUUCCGGUAAAGGAUGGGGAUGCGUUCCAUUAGGUUGUUGGUGAGGUAACGGCUCACCAAGCCUUCGAUGGAUAGGGGUUCUGAGAGGAAGGUCCCCCACAUUGGAACUGAGACACGGUCCAAACUCCUACGGGAGGCAGCAGUGAGGAAUAUUGGUCAAUGGGCGCUAGCCUGAACCAGCCAAGUAGCGUGAAGGAUGAAGGCUCUAUGGGUCGUAAACUUCUUUUAUAUAAGAAUAAAGUGCAGUAUGUAUACUGUUUUGUAUGUAUUAUAUGAAUAAGGAUCGGCUAACUCCGUGUCAGCAGCCGCGGUAAUACGGAGGAUCCGAGCGUUAUCCGGAUUUAUUGGGUUUAAAGGGAGCGUAGGUGGACUGGUAAGUCAGUUGUGAAAGUUUGCGGCUCAACCGUAAAAUUGCAGUUGAUACUGUCAGUCUUGAGUACAGUAGAGGUGGGCGGAAUUCGUGGUGUAGCGGUGAAAUGCUUAGAUAUCACGAAGAACUCCGAUUGCGAAGGCAGCUCACUGGACUGCAACUGACACUGAUGCUCGAAAGUGUGGGUAUCAAACAGGAUUAGAUACCCUGGUAGUCCACACAGUAAACGAUGAGUACUCGCUGUUUGCGAUAUACAGUAAGCGGCCAAGCGAAAGCAUUAAGUAUUCCACCUGGGGAGUACGCCGGCAACGGUGAAACUCAAAGGAAUUGACGGGGCCCGCACAAGCGGAGGAACAUGUGGUUUAAUUCGAUGAUACGCGAGGAACCUUACCCGGGCUUAAAUUGCAGUGGAAUGAUGUGGAAACAUGUCAGUGAGCAAUCACCGCUGUGAAGGUGCUGCAUGGUUGUCGUCAGCUCGUGCCGUGAGGUGUCGGCUUAAGUGCCAUAACGAGCGCAACCCUUAUCUUUAGUUACUAACAGGUUAUGCUGAGGACUCUAGAGAGACUGCCGUCGUAAGAUGUGAGGAAGGUGGGGAUGACGUCAAAUCAGCACGGCCCUUACGUCCGGGGCUACACACGUGUUACAAUGGGGGGUACAGAAGGCAGCUAGCGGGUGACCGUAUGCUAAUCCCAAAAGCCUCUCUCAGUUCGGAUCGAAGUCUGCAACCCGACUUCGUGAAGCUGGAUUCGCUAGUAAUCGCGCAUCAGCCACGGCGCGGUGAAUACGUUCCCGGGCCUUGUACACACCGCCCGUCAAGCCAUGGGAGCCGGGGGUACCUGAAGUACGUAACCGCAAGGAUCGUCCUAGGGUAAAACUGGUGACUGGGGCUAAGUCG